rnacentral:rRNA from 1 species
AUCGAUAAUCCACGUUAAAUUUCACUUUAAUUUAAAACUUAUAUACCGCCAUCUUAAGAAUUAAUUAUAUAAUAUUUCUCUAAAUAAUAUCUAAAAAGUUAGGUCAAGGUAUAAUUUACAUUAAAGAAUAGAUGAAUUACAUUAAACACAAUUUAAAGAUUAUAAAUAAACAUAUUUAUAUAAAUAAGAAUUUAAAAGUAAUAUUCAAAUAAUAUUACAAUAUGAUAUAGAUAAAAAAUGUGUACACAUCGCCC